AUGUAGGGCAAUCCAUCUUUAAGUAGGGAUCACUUACUCUAAAAUUAAUACUAGGUAGUUUUCUCUGAAUGAAAAGUGUCUUAU
rnacentral:pre_miRNA from 1 species